CAAGUGUGGAUAGAGAAACAAAACCUUUUUAGGAGUAUUAAUAAUGACUAAUUUGAGUACUCCGUGGUGUUUGUAUUAAGCAAUGAUGAAGUGUUUCAACAGGACUUAUAGCAAUGUAGCUUUUGACCGUUACACUUGCUAGUUAAGUAUAUGACGUUGCCCACAGCUGGUAUUGCUUGCUGGGAAGACUUAUAAUUUUCUACGAGUAAAUGACUUUUAAGGAUGUCGACGGUAUUUUAAAACAAUUUGUAGGUGUACAUAUAUGUACAAUAAGCAUGUGAGGAAGUGCUAAAUACUAAAUUAUGCUAGGGAUAAUGAGUUAAGAGAGGCCUUUACCAAUCUGAGUAAUCACAGGUUAAAUUUAAUUUAAUUUUGUGUACUUUUAAGGCU